GUGAAUCAUCGAGUCUUUGAACGCACCUUGCGCUCCCUGGUAUUCCGAAGAGCAUGCCUGUUUGAGUGUCAUGAAAAUAUCAACCUUGAAUUGAGUUUUGUGCUCGAGUCUUGGCUUGGAUGUGGGUGUUUGCCGUUAUAACAAGCGGCUCAUCUUAAAUGCAUUAGCUGGAUCAGUCUUUGGGACUUGGUUUGACUUGGCGUAAUAAGUAUUUCGCUAAGGACAUUUUCUGAAAUGGCCUUGUUUCUUUUGACAUCUGUUCCGCUUUUCCAAUACCGGUUCCAGUAAUGGACAUGACUUUUUAAAUAUUUGGCCUCAAAUCAGGUAGGACUACCCGCUGAACUUAAGCAUAUCAAUAAGCGGAGG
rnacentral:rRNA from 1 species